AAUGAACGCUGGCGGCGUGGUUAAGACAUGCAAGUCGAACGGGACAUUAAGUGUAGCAAUACAUUUGAUGUUCAGUGGCGAACGGGUGCGUAACACGUGAACAAUCUACCUUUAAGUGUGGAAUAGCUCGCCGAAAGGCGAAUUAAUACCGCAUGUGGUGGCCUCUCGCAUGAGAGACCUACUAAAGUCGGGACGCAAGCCUGACGCUUGAAGAGGAGUUCGCGGCCUAUCAGCUAGUUGGCGAGGUAACGGCUCACCAAGG
rnacentral:rRNA from 1 species